CAAAGCAGACAACUGGCAGAGCCGGGAUUAGAACCCAUGACCUUCUGACUCCCAGGCCCUUGGUCAAUCCACUACGCCAUGAUUUCUUGCAGCCCAGAGGAAUGUCCAGGGGCUCCAGAGACACGAAUUGGGGACCUCGGCUGACAAUAUUUGCUGUAACGACCUCUGAAAACCAAACCAACGUGUGAAAUGAGCUCCUGGGGUAUCCUCCUUUUUCAAAUCAAAGACUCCUCGAAUAUUCAUGAAGGGAGCCAGGAUUGACCGGAGGAGGAAGUGGAAGAAGCAACAAAAAGGCUGACAUACCCUGUGGUCCGAGGGAAUGUAAUGUUGUCAUGAGACAGAAAUGUUUUAUUCCUCACACGAAUAACUUCAACGGCAAAUACAGUUCAAGUGAUAAAAGUGCCAAGAAAGAAAGGAAAGGUCAAGACGGAGAUCCUCAAAACAAUGUCAGGAACGCCAGGCACGAAGGGCCAAGGAAAAAGUAACAGGGAACGCGGGACGCUUCGCAAAGACAUUUCGGGAGAGGUCAAAGAGAAAUUGAGAAUUACGGCGCAGAUGGAGAGCUUGAAGACACUCAGAGGGGAUGAAAAAUCGAAUCGAGCUACUACCAGAUCCGUAGGGAUGAAAUAAAAUUUUACAACGAUCUUUGUUUA